GCCUGGAGGGCAGGUCGGGCCUCUUGCCGCUAAGGUCAGCGGCUGCGGUUUGAGAAGACUGCAGCUGCUUCCUGUGUUACGCUGUCGCAGACAAGCAGAAGUUAAAAACUAGUAAAUGACUUAAAGAGAUGGGGUCUCACUAUGUUGCCCAGGGUUACUGCCAUACUUGUGGAUUGCCAGGUUAACUCUGCAAGCUACACGAACAUGGCCUCUGCCUCCCUUACAUUUUCUACAUAUCAAGAUGCCCAUGGGAUACCUAAUACAUCUGAGUUAAG
rnacentral:lncRNA from 1 species